AGCGAACGCUGGCGGCAGGCUUAACACAUGCAAGUCGAGCGGAUGUAGCAAUACAUCAGCGGCAGACGGGUGAGUAACACGUGGGAACGUACCUUUUGGUUCGGAACAACACAGGGAAACUUGUGCUAAUACCGGAUAAGCCCUUACGGGGAAAGAUUUAUCGCCGAAAGAUCGGCCCGCGUCUGAUUAGCUAGUUGGUGAGGUAACGGCUCACCAAGGCGACGAUCAGUAGCUGGUCUGAGAGGAUGAUCAGCCACAUUGGGACUGAGACACGGCCCAAACUCCUACGGGAGGCAGCAGUGGGGAAUAUUGGACAAUGGGCGCAAGCCUGAUCCAGCCAUGCCGCGUGAGUGAUGAAGGCCCUAGGGUUGUAAAG
rnacentral:rRNA from 1 species